rnacentral:rRNA from 1 species
AGGACGAACGCUGGCGGCGUGCUUAACACAUGCAAGUCGAGCGGUGAUCCUCCUUCGGGAGGUGAUCAGCGGCGAACGGGUGAGUAACACGUGGGCAACCUGCCCCUCACACUGGGAUAAACCUCGGGAAACCGGGGCUAAUACCGGAUACGACCUCGAGCGGCAUCUCUUGAGGUGGAAAGCUCCGACGGUGAGGGAUGGGCCCGCGGCCUAUCAGCUUGUUGGUGGGUAAUGGCCUACCAAGGCGACGACGGGUA